GACGAACGCUGGCGGCGUGCCUAAUACAUGCAAGUCGAACGCAUUUUCUUUCACCGUAGCUUGCUACACCGAAAGAAAAUGAGUGGCGAACGGGUGAGUAACACGUGGGUAACCUGCCCAUCAGCGGGGGAUAACACUUGGAAACAGGUGCUAAUACCGCAUAAUUCCAUUUACCGCAUGGUAGAUGGAUGAAAGGCGCUUUUGCGUCACUGAUGGAUGGACCCGCGGUGCAUUAGCUAGUUGGUGGGGUAACGGCCUACCAAGGCUGCGAUGCAUAGCCGACCGGCGAGGGGGAUCGGCCACACUGGGACUGAGACACGGCCCAGACUCCUACGGGAGGCAGCAGUAGGGAAUCUUCGGCAAUGGACACAAGUCUGACCGAGCAACGCCGCGUGAGUGAAGAAGGUUUUCGGAUCGUAAAACUCGGUUGUUAGAGAAGAACAAGGAUGAGAGUGGAAAGUUCAUCCCUUGACGGUAUCUAACCAGAAAGCCACGGCUAACUACGUG
rnacentral:rRNA from 1 species